rnacentral:rRNA from 1 species
AGAGUUUGAUCAUGGCUCAGAUUGAACGCUGGCGGCAGGCCUAACACAUGCAAGUCGAGCGGAAACAGAAAGGUGCUUGCACCUUUGCUGUCGAGCGGCGGACGGGUGAGUAAUGCCUAGGGAACUGCCCAGUCGAGGGGGAUAACAGUUGGAAACGACUGCUAAUACCGCAUACGCCCUACGGGGGAAAGGAGGGGACCUUCGGGCCUUUCGCGAUUGGAUGUACCUAGGUGGGAUUAGCUAGUUGGUAAGGUAAUGGCUUACCAAGGCGACGAUCCCUAGCUGGUCUGAGAGGAUGAUCAGCCACACUGGAACUGAGACACGGUCCAGACUCCUACGGGAGGCAGCAGUGGGGAAUAUUGCACAAUGGGCGAAAGCCUGAUGCAGCCAUGCCGCGUGUGUGAAGAAGGCCUUCGGGUUGUAAAGCACUUUCAGCGAGGAGGAAAGGUUGUAGUUUAAUAAACUACAGCUGUGACGUUACUCGCAGAAGAAGCACCGGCUAACUUCGUGCCAGCAGCCGCGGUAAUACGAGGGGUGCAAGCGUUAAUCGGAAUUACUGGGCGUAAAGCGUACGCAGGCGGUUUGUUAAGCAAGAUGUGAAAGCCCCGGGCUCAACCUGGGAAUUGCAUUUUGAACUGGCAAACUAGAGUCUUGUAGAGGGGGGUAGAAUUUCACGUGUAGCGGUGAAAUGCGUAGAGAU